rnacentral:siRNA from 1 species
AGCAAGUCCUUAACUAGCCAUGGA